rnacentral:tRNA from 1 species
UGCGGGGUAGAGUAAUAGUAACUCGUCAGGCUCAUAACCUGAAAAUUUUGGUGCGAAUCCAAACUCCGCAA